UGUCAAUGAUGAUUAACAUGUUCUGCUACUGAAUGUAACUGUGGAUAACACAUACCAUUACCAAAACACUUCUGAUGC
rnacentral:snoRNA from 1 species